AUUGAACGCUGGCGGCAUGCCUUACACAUGCAAAUCGAACGGUAACGGGCCUUCGGGUGCCGACGAGUGGCGAACGGGUGAGUAAUACAUCGGAACGUGCCCGAUCGUGGGGGAUAACGAGGCGAAAGCUUUGCUAAUACCGCAUACGAUCUACGGAUGAAAGCAGGGGACCGCAAGGCCUUGCGCGGACGGAGCGGCCGAUGGCAGAUUAGGUAGUUGGUGGGAUAAAAGCUUACCAAGCCGACGAUCUGUAGCUGGUCUGAGAGGAUGAUCAGCCACACUGGGACUGAGACACGGCCCAGACUCCUACGGGAGGCAGCAGUGGGGAAUUUUGGACAAUGGGCGCAAGCCUGAUCCAGCCAUGCCGCGUGCAGGAUGAAGGCCUUCGGGUUGUAAACUGAUUUUGUACGGAACGAAAAGCCUACUUUUAAUACAGGAGGGUCAUGACGGUACCGUAAGAAUAAGCACCGGCUAACUACGUG
rnacentral:rRNA from 1 species